UAGGGAAUCUUCGGCAAUGGGGGCAACCCUGACCGAGCAACGCCGCGUGAGUGUAGAAGGUUUUCGGAUCGUAAAGCUCUGUUGUAAGAGAAGAACGUGUGUGAGAGUGGAAAGUUCACACAGUGACGGUAACUUACCAGAAAGGGACGGCUAACUACGUGCCAGCAGCCGCGGUACUACGUAGGUCCCGAGCGUUGUCCGGAUUUAUUGGGCGUAAAGCGAGCGCAGGCGGUUUAAUAAGUCUGAAGUUAAAGGCAGUGGCUUAACCAUUGUUCGCUUUGGAAACUGUUAAACUGGAGUGCAGAAGGGGAGAGUGGAAUUCCAUGUGUAGCGGUGAAAUGCGUAGAUAUAUGGAGGAACACCGGUGGCGAAAGCGGCUCUCUGGUCUGUAACUGACGCUGAGGCUCGAAAGCGUGGGGAGCAAACAGG
rnacentral:rRNA from 1 species